GACGAACGCUGGCGGCGUGCUUAACACAUGCAAGUCGAACGGUAAACCUCUUCGAGGGUGCUCUGUGGGGUACGGGUGAGUGACAGGUGGACAACCUGACCCCGGCCUUGUGUUUAGUCCAAGAUAAUGUAGCUAAUACUACGUGUUCACCGCAUCCCGCCUGGGUGGGGGUGCAAAGGGUUUGCGGCUGGGGAUGGGCUCGCGGCGCAUCUGCUUGUUUGGGGGGUAGUGGGAUACCAAGGCGACGACGGGUAGGCGGCAUGAGAGGGUGACCAGGCACAAUGGGACUGAGACACGGCCCAGACUCCUACGGGAGGCAGCAGGGGGGAAUAUUGCGCAAUGGGCGGAAGUCUGACGCAGAGACGCCGGGGGGGGGAAGACGGCCUUCGGGUUGUAAACCGCUUUCGGCAGGGACGAAGCGGAAGUGACGGUACCUGCAGAAGAAGCACCGGCCAACUACGUG
rnacentral:rRNA from 1 species